GGACGGGUGAGUAACGCGUGGGUAACCUGCCUUACACUGGGGGAUAACAGUUAGAAAUAGCUGCUAAUACCGCAUAAGCGCACGGUUCCGCAUGGAACAGUGUGAAAAACUCCGGUGGUGUGAGAUGGACCCGCGUCUGAUUAGCCAGUUGGCGGGGUAACGGCCCACCAAAGCGACGAUCAGUAGCCGGCCUGAGAGGGUGAACGGCCACAUUGGGACUGAGACACGGCCCAAACUCCUACGGGAGGCAGCAGUGGGGAAUAUUGCACAAUGGGGGAAACCCUGAUGCAGCGACGCCGCGUGAGUGAAGAAGUAUUUCGGUAUGUAAAGCUCUAUCAGCAGGGAAGAAAGUGACGGUACCUGAAUAAGAAGCCCCGGCUAACU
rnacentral:rRNA from 1 species